CCCAUAUAUUCAAAAUAGUAUUAUUUAGACAUGUAAUCAAUAUAAAAAUCAUUAAUAAGACAUUUUACAUUUUACACUCUUUUUUUGUACUAAGUCUUCAAAAUCUGGUGUAUAUUUUACACAUCUGGCAUAUCUCAAUUCACAUUAGCCAUGUUUUGAUUGCUCAAUGGCCACAUGUGGCUAGUGGCUAAUAUAAUGGACAAUGAAGUCCUGGACCCUUCACUUACAAGCUGAGUGGUCUUGGACAAGUAAUUUAAGCAUUCUGAGUCUGCUCACUUCCCUUUAAAAUGGAGUUAUAUUCUUUUAAAAACCUACAUCCUAGGAUUAAAUAUGAGAUUAAAUAAAUCAAAAGAGAACAGUGUCUGGUAGAUGCUCAGAAUACUGUAGUUAUCAAUACUGCAUUAUCAUGUUAGGGAGUGGGUCAUUCAACUAGCCACUGUUCUCUUUUACUUUGAAUUUUCAUUGGUGGACUUCAGUAAAGCUUAAAAUGAACUUUUUCCCUAUAAUAACUUCUGUCAGUCCCGUAACCAAAAGGUUAACAUAUAGAGUUAUAGAAUAUUCUCAGGAAUUACUGAUGUCCUGAUCAAUUUAUGAGAUAAGGGUCUGGAGGUUUUAUACAUUUAGUAUCAAGAUGGAGAAAUAUGAGCCCAGGUUAUAGUCUGGAGGUUAAAAGUUCAUUACAAGAUUGCCAAGAAACCAAAAACAGAACAGGCUUGGAAAUAUUGUUAAGCCUGCCUGCCAUUUACUCUGCCAAUUACAGAAGAAACACUAAGCAAAGUACCUUUUCACUGGUACCAGUGAAACUGACAGGCAAGUAGCUGAUCCCAAAC
rnacentral:lncRNA from 1 species